CCCCGGUAAACGGCGGCCGUAACUAUAACGGUCCUAAGGUAGCGAAAUUCCUUGUCGGGUAAGUUCCGACCUGCACGAAUGGCGUAAUGAUGGCCAGGCUGUCUCCACCCGAGACUCAGUGAAAUUGAACUCGCUGUGAAGAUGCAGUGUACCCGCGGCAAGACGGAAAGACCCCGUGAACCUUUACUAUAGCUUGACACUGAACAUUGAGCCUUGAUGUGUAGGAUAGGUGGGAGGCUUUGAAGUGUGGACGCCAGUCUGCAUGGAGCCGACCUUGAAAUACCACCCUUUAAUGUUUGAUGUUCUAACGUGGACCCGUAAUCCGGGUUGCGGACAGUGUCUGGUGGGUAGUUUGACUGGGGCGGUCUCCUCCUAAAGAGUAACGGAGGAGCACGAAGGUUGGCUAAUCCUGGUCGGACAUCAGGAGGUUAGUGCAAUGGCAUAAGCCAGCUUGACUGCGAGCGUGACGGCGCGAGCAGGUGCGAAAGCAGGUCAUAGUGAUCCGGUGGUUCUGAAUGGAAGGGCCAUCGCUCAACGGAUAAAAGGUACUCCGGGGAUAACAGGCUGAUACCGCCCAAGAGUUCAUAUCGACGGCGGUGUUUGGCACCUCGAUGUCGGCUCAUCACAUCCUGGGGCUGAAGUAGGUCCCAAGGGUAUGGCUGUUCGCCAUUUAAAGUGGUACGCGAGCUGGGUUUAGAACGUCGUGAGACAGUUCGGUCCCUAUCUGCCGUGGGCGCUGGAGAACUGAGGGGGGCUGCUCCUAGUACGAGAGGACCGGAGUGGACGCAUCACUGGUGUUCGGGUUGUCAUGCCAAUGGCACUGCCCGGUAGCUAAAUGCGGAAGAGAUAAGUGCUGAAAGCAUCUAAGCACGAAACUUGCCCCGAGAUGAGUUCUCCCUGAGACUUAGAGUCUCCUGAAGGAACGUUGAAGACGACGACGUUGAUAGGCCGGGUGUGUAAGCGCAGCAAUGCGUUGAGCUAACCGGUACUAAUGAACCGUGAGGCUUAACCUUACAACGCCGAAG
rnacentral:rRNA from 1 species